rnacentral:rRNA from 1 species
UAAACGGCCGCGGUAUCCUGACCGUGCAAAGGUAGCAUAAUCAUUCGUUCCCUAAAUAGGGACUUGUAUGAAUGGCCACACGAGGGCUUUACUGUCUCUUACUUCCGAUCCGUGAAAUUGACCUUCCCGUGAAGAGGCGGGAAUAUGACAAUAAGACGAGAAGACCCUAUGGAGCUUUAAUUAACCGACCCAAAGAGAUCUUAACAACUAACCGAUAGGGACAACAAACCUCUACCAUGGGUCGACAAUUUAGGUUGGGGUGACCUCGGAGAAUAAAACAACCUCCGAGUGAUUUAAAUCUAGACUAACCAGUCGAAAGUACUACAUCACUUAUUGAUCCAAAAACUUGAUCAACGGAACAAGUUACCCUAGGGAUAACAGCGCAAUCCUAUUUUAGAGUCCAUAUCGACAAUAGGGUUUACGACCUCGAUGUUGGAUCAGGACAUCCCGAUGGUGCAGCAGCUAUCAAAGGUUCGUUUG